CCUACGGGUGGCUGCAGUGAGGAAUAUUGGUCAAUGGACGAGAGUCUGAACCAGCCAAGUAGCGUGAAGGAUGACUGCCCUAUGGGUUGUAAACUUCUUUUAUAUGGGAAUAAAAUGUUCCACGUGUGGGGUUUUGUAUGUACCAUAUGAAUAAGGAUCGGCUAACUCCGUGCCAGCAGCCGCGGUAAUACGGAGGAUCUGAGCGUUAUCCGGAUUUAUUGGGUUUAAAGGGAGCGUAGGUGGAUUGUUAAGUCAGUUGUGAAAGUUCGCGGCUCAACCGUAAGAUUGCAGUUGAAACUGGCGGUCUUGAGUACAGUAGAGGUAGACGGAAUGCGUGGUGUAGCGGUGAAAUGCUUAGAUAUCACGAAGAACUCCGAUUGCGAAGGCGGUCUGCUGGACAGCAACUGACGCUGAGGCGCGAAAGCGUGGGGAGCAAACAGGAUUAGAUACCCUAGUAGUC
rnacentral:rRNA from 1 species